rnacentral:tRNA from 1 species
GCCCCCGUAGCUCAGUGGAUAGAGCACUUGCCUCCUAAGCAAGGGGUCGCGCGUUCGAAUCGCGUUGGGGGCG